UACGAAGGGGGCUAGCGUUGCUCGGAAUCACUGGGCGUAAAGCGCACGUAGGCGGAUCUUUAAGUCAGGGGUGAAAUCCUGGAGCUCAACUCCAGAACUGCCUUUGAUACUGGGGAUCUCGAGUCCGGAAGAGGUGAGUGGAACUCCGAGUGUAGAGGUGAAAUUCGUAGAUAUUCGCAAGAACACCAGUGGCGAAGGCGGCUCACUGGCCCGAUACUGACGCUGAGGCACGAAAGCGUGGGGAGCAAACAGGG
rnacentral:rRNA from 1 species